rnacentral:rRNA from 1 species
GACGAACGCUGGCGGCGUGCUUAACACAUGCAAGUCGAACGAAGUGGCGAACGGGUGAGUAAUACGUGAGUAACCUGCCCUCCUUUUUGGGAUAAGCCUUGGAAACGGGGUCUAAUACCGAAUAAUGGGGGAUGGGCUCGCGGCCUAUCGGCUUGUUGGUGGGGUGAUGGCCUACCAAGGCGGUGACGGGUAGCCGGCCUGAGAGGGUGACCGGCGACAGUGGGAGUGUGAUACGGCCCAGACUCCUACGUGAGGGAGCAGUGGGGGAUAUUGGACACUGGGCGAAAGCGUGAUGCGGCGACGCCGCGGGGGGGAUGAAGGCUUUCGGGUUGUAAACCUCUUUCGCUAUAGAACGGGUAGGUGGAGAAGAAGCGCCGGCUAACUACGUGCCAGCAGCCGCGGUAAUUC